UCCGGUUUGUCACCGGCAGUCCCAUUAGAGUGCUCAACUGAAUGGUAGCAACUAAAGACGAGGGUUGCGCUCGUUGCGGGACUUAACCCAACAUCUCACGACACGAGCUGACGACAGCCAUGCAGCACCUGUGCACGAUCUCCGAAGAGGGGCUCUCGUUUCUGAGAGCUUGCUCGUGCAUGUCAAGCCUAGGUAAGGUUCUUCGCGUUGCGUCGAAUUAAACCACAUGCUCCACCGCUUGUGCGGGCCCCCGUCAAUUCCUUUGAGUUUCACCCUUGCGGGCGUACUCCCCAGGUGGAUUACUUAACGCUUUCGCUAAGACGCUGACAGUGUAUCGCCAACAUCGAGUAAUCAACGUUUACAGUGUGGACUAC
rnacentral:misc_RNA from 1 species